UUGUACAAAAGUAAUGGCUGCCAUCUCUAGUUUUCGAUUGAUGUUUUCCGUGGAGAGACCGAAUUCCCGUGUUUACCGCGGUAUUUAAUAACGCAGAAUCGCUCUGCGCGACGCAUCGGCGUCAACCGCGAUGUAAACGGUGUUCAGACGCACGUCGUUUUGGCUGCCUCAGUGUCAUUUCCGCGGAAAAAUGCCUGUGUUUACAUCCGAGCUACGAGCGAGCUUCUGUAUUCCUGUCACAUUAAGCCUAUGGUCCACAGUCCUCAAAUAGCCAAAUCGAGAACUAGACUUGGUGAAGCCGGGCGAGGACGAUAGCCAACAGUCCUUGGACCGGUCGCUAAACUCGCUUGCGAGUUUCCACUUGACGUGCUCUCAUAAGGCUACCAAAACGUCGACCCCAUCGGUAAUCAAGUUAUCGGGGGGUGGAACAGCUGGCAGUGGGGAGCAAUUAUCCCCAGGGCCUGGCCCACCUCCCCCAGCAUCUUCGUUGAUCGGCGGUGACGGUCGCAUCAAUGAGAACACACCAGCCACAGAUAACAAUGAUGACGAAGCGGAGCAAACUGUCGUUUCGACUGGAACGACGAAGUCUACGUCUGCGAAAAUGGAGAAGGAAUAUGGUCAAGCUAAUGAAACCACCAUGAGUUUUGUUCUAAAACUAGAUGUAGAGGCUGCAGCUGCGCCGGUGGUGGAGAACACGACAAAGGACAACGACAGGAGUGAAGAACAACCGCCACCGACGUUACUGUUCGCUCAGGAGAUAUGGCGAUCCCAGGAGCCCGUUGCAGUCGCCACCGGCACAGCAACGACUAUCACCACGACAGGGAACGCCAUGGUGAUCACGAGCGGCGAUGACGCCAUUGCGGCUGCUAAUAGUGGCAAGUCGCAGCUGUUGCAGUCUUUGGAGGCGACAAGCAACCAUGAGCAACAGAUUGCGACGGCUACUACUGCGUCUACUCUCGCAAGUGUCAAGCCUGUGGUGACUUAUCCAGUCGCUAAAGGCGCCAGGGAACAGGUGCAAAAAAUUAUUACCGGUUCACAAACCAACACCACGGAGAUAUUGACAUCGCGCGUCAUCUCGCAGAAAUUAUCGCCAUCGUCCACUGAUCAGGCGCAGCUUGUCCCGGUGACGGUCAACAUUUCUUCUCAAACAUCGACUAACUCGACGUCCUCGCCAUCCCCCAAUAGUGGCGGCGUUCUCUGUCCUUGGCAAACAACUAUGAUCACGGUACAAAGCAGUCAGCCAAUAUAUCAAUCGAAGAAUCAAGUUACGACCGCUGACCUUAUCCAUUGUAAGCAACAAGUAACGGUGGCAAGUAAUGUACAGACUACAUUACAUCACAAAUGUCAACCAGUAUACUCCACGGGUACUUCUACUACAGCGGUGAAGGAUCUACAAAGAUUUUACACGAAAUCAUUGCCAAGCAGUAUCAUCUCAGCUAGUCAAUCGGCGCAAAAAAUCAAGACCGUGACAAAUGUGAUCACUAACCCAUCUACUAUAGUUGCACAACGUAAUAAUUCCUUAUCUAGAUCACAAGGUGCGCAAAAAACACGAAUGUUACCUGGUCAGUUUAUAAACAAUCAAGCAACAGCGAACAACGCAAAUCCGCAGAAAAUUCAGCUAGGCAAUCCGACACAGAAGACGACGCAGCCUGUCGGCGCAACGAAUAUUCAAAAAACAACUCUCCAACCUGUCUGCAACAAUCAAAAAGUUCCAUUGUUGAGUGGCAAUCAUCUUCCAAAUCUCAAAACGCAACAGCAAAAGUUGCAGAUGCCUCAUAAGAUAUCUCUAACCGUAGGCAGGCAGCAAUUACAAUCAAGCACACAACAAAUAAAUAAUGUCUCGAAAUCUAGUAACCUUGUAACCGGUAUACAAAAAUAUCCACCACCUGGGCAACAUUUUAUGGCAUGCCAACAAGCAGUCAGAUCUCAAUCAACGGUAACUGGGCUGCAAAAAUCUCAGACAAUGGCCACAGUACAAACCGCCAAACUACAAACUACGAUGAGUAAUGUCUGCAAGAGCAACAGUGUGCCAAACGUCUCCAAAUCAUCGCAAAAUUCGAAUGUGCUUAAACAGCAAAUACAGUUGCAAACUACGUCGGCGCAAUUGUUACAAGGUAGUUCGCAACAAGUAAUCCAAAAGUCUCAACAGCAGCAAUCGGCGAAUAAUCUACAGGUUCAACGAAGUAUUACUAAUGUGCAUUCGAAGGUGAUAGCACCUGUACCGAACAAUCAAAGAACUCCGGUUAUGAUGAAUUCGAAAGUUCAACAGCAGCAGCAACAGCAACAACAAACAAUGAUGAGGGUAGGAAUAUCAAAGGGUCAGACGCAAGCUGUUCAAACUGUAGCAAAUCUGAAGACUAUCUCGCAAAAAUCCGUAGUGAAUCCCGCUAAGACGACUGCAAAUUCCCAAAAUAAUGUCAUUCAACAGCCUAUUAUAGUGCAAAGAAAUAACAAUCCUCCUCAACCCGUGAAAAUCAUUCAACAACAGCAGCAACAGAAUAUAAUUGGUCCACAAAAUGCUCCGCAAAAACAAUCUGGAUGCAUUAAGACUAUUCCACCGCAGAAACCUGUACAAAGAAAUCACGCUCAGAAAAUUGGCAACAACCCUGGCGUUAAACCCUUGUUGAGUUCAAACGUAACGGGAUUUACGAAAACCCAAGGUCCGACCGCGACGCAAGUGGCGCAAAAAACGUGUAUUAAGACCUUGCUGCCGCAGCAAACGGUAGUUACAUCAUCCAAUGUGAUAACUCCGCACAAAAACUCGCCAAUCAAAAUUCAGCAACAAGCGAUACAGCAGAAACAAUUGGUCAUGACGCCGCAAUACACUCAGCAGAUCCGACAGCAAGCCGGACAAAUAAAAACCUUGCUUCCGAUAACCUCGGCUACGAUUGAACCUCGUAAAGACGUCACUGAGAAUAAAAUGGAUAAUGAGUCACGAAUGUCUAAAGAAGAAGAGCAAAGUACCUCUAAAUCGCCAGUAAGAAGAAUGCCACUUCCUUACGAGUGUCUUCAAUUCGUUCUCCAAGACCAUAAUUACGGAGCGCCACCGCCACGGACACCACCGCCUCCAUCGCCACCUCCUCAUCCGAAGCAGCAACCCAUUAACGGAGCCGGUAGUUCCACAGCUACCUCCCAACAUCCUUACAUUUUUGGACCUGUUGCAACCAACACCAAUGUGGAAGAUGAUGCUGCCAGUGUGAUAAGUAGUGAUGCGGGACGAGAGGCGGAACCGGAAGGUGAAGAAACUGAAACAGCACCCGAAGGCGAAGGUGAUGACGAGGACAGUGUUACUAGAUGUAUCUGUGACUUUGAACAUGAUGACGGAUAUAUGAUAUGUUGUGACCGUUGCUUAGUAUGGCAGCACGUCGAUUGUAUGGGCAUUGAUCGUUCGAACAUUCCUGAUGAAUACCUCUGCGAGAGAUGCCGACCACGACGAGUGGACAGACAGCGAGCACGCGCCUUACAAAUGCGUAAACGCGAAGAGCUUCUUAAUUCGGACAUGUCUUCCGAUGCGUCGUCCACCAGUUCAGCAGACACAGACGUCGGUUCGGUGAACAACGCCACGGCCCAAAAGAAACGUCCGCUUUCGCAACAACAAUCGCAAAUUCCGAGGCGCAACAAAUCUGAUACGUCUGCUCAAUCGUCACAGGUGCGAAGGUUAAAUAAUAACAACAAUAACAAUAACAAUAACGUUGGAAAGAGGCAAAGAAGAGAUUCGCAAGCCCGACAAUCAAGCACCGUUCGAAAGAAGGAAAACAAUACUGCUCCGAAGCGAGGACCUGGGAAACGUAAGGCUAAGAGGAGAACGAGUCUGGAAGAUAAAGAGGACGAUGUGCAAGAUGCCUGGGGUACCAAUAUGGCCCCCCUUAGACAAUGGAUCGAAAGAUACGAAGAAGCCGUUACGAAUCAUUACAGUCCCGAAUUGCGAGCCAGGAUAUCAAAUAUCAAAGUCAACGGCACGCAUAGUGACCUAAGGCAAAGUAACAUGAACGUCGUUGCCACCGGUAAAUGCCGGCUUAACGUGCACAGCAAUAAUCUUAGAUUUUUAGUGGCGACAAUGUAUCUCCCGCCAAACACUCCUAUUGUGGAAUUACGUGGCAAAUAUAUGCUUAGCACACAACAUCGACUGCAGUAUACGCAAAGUGGUAGGCAACACGUCCAACGACCAGGACCGUUCGUGUUUUUCUAUCGUCUGCCACGCGAUGGCACCGAAGUGUGCGUAGACACGCGGACAUACGGAAAUGACGCGAGGUUUGUGCGGCGUAGUUGCAAGCCGAACGCCGAGGUGAAGCAUUGCAUCGAGAAAGGCACGCUACAUCUCUAUAUUGUGACGACAUGUGCAAUCGAGAAAAACGCCGAGAUAACAAUCAAACAUGAGCAGCAUGAUCUACUACUGUCACCCAAUCCCAGUUCUCCAGCGAUGCCUGUUGUGUGCGCAUGUAAUAAUCCACGGGAAUGUCAAAUUACAAACGCGGCAAGCCAGCUGAACAGAAGAGGUAGCAAUGGCGCUCUCGUCGAAAAUGCUGAUGGCAGAGAACGAAGGCGACGGGGUAGAAGAAAUACAGUCUGCGAGGAAACCGAUUCCAUACCACCGGCAGUUCCUCCGGUGACGAGUGUCACGCAAGCCGCUACGACUACAACAUCAUCUGCAUCAUCGACGGUGACUCCUGCAACGCCAAGGAGAACCAUCACAACUACGGUUACAACUACAACGACUCGUCAAGUUGCAAAGGAAGAGAUCCCCGCUACGGUAACGAAUACGCAGCCUCAAACGUCACCUAGUUUGAAUCAAUCGGUGACGAUGACAUCGGAAUCGAAAAAGGAUAAAAAGAAGAUGACACGAGAAGAGAGGAAGAUGGAGGCGAUUAUAAAGGCUUUCGAAAGAUUAGAGAAGGCGGAGCAGAGAAAACAGGAGGUACAAGCAAGAAAUGCGCAACGAAAAGAAUCUGGUGGCACGCACAGCGAUAACGAGGAUAGUCAUUCGAUGACGGGACAAUCCAAGAGUAGUAAACAAACAAAUUCAGAGAGACCGCUACGACGUAGAAGGAGGAAAGGUCGAGCAAGGACGACAAGUUCAUCUCAGUCGCAGGGCAGUAGUCGAAGGACAAGAUUGAACUCCGCCGAGUCGGACGUAUCCUCCGGAGACGAGAGCAAUUCUAUGCAGUCGCCGCCUCUGUUGAGUCAGAAUCGUGCAUCUAGCCAGGACGUUCCCUAUUCAUCGCACUUACACACUCCGUCUAAGAACACGACGGGUGAUAUUAGCAAUACCGGCUCAUCAUCUAGUGGAAUUCCCACUGCGGCUGGUUUAUUGCUGGCUUUAGCGAACUCUAAUGCUCCCGGUCCUCCAAGUUCUCCACCGUUACAACAACCCACUCCUGUCAAAAGUCCUACUUGUGAUAGCGGAGCCAGUAGCAGUUCACAGAGUUCCACGCCACCGACACCGUUGUCCUCUGCCUGUUUGUUGGUGGCCGCCGCGGUCGGCCCCUUGGCUCCGGGUUUCAAGUUUCCGAAGACGAAGAAGGUAUUGAUGAACGAAUGGCUAAAGGAAUCGCCCGAUCCGCCACAAGUUAAUAUACCUCAAGUGUCACCUUUACCAGUUUUACCACCUGCCGCUCCACCAGCCUUACAAAAUUCCAUGAAUCCGCUGUGCAGCAGGCAUUUCUCACCGGUACCGACAGAUGCUUCAGUGGAAUUCCUAUCUCAGAGUUACGCAGCGAAAAGUCUAGCCACUCUCGUGCAAGCUGCCAAUUCGGUUAGCGGCAUAUGCGAUUCACCGCCGCAACGUAGACAGCAACAGCAAGUGAUUUCCAGUAAUAACAAUAAUGGCAAUGGCAGUCCCGCUGUCUCUACAGGCUCGGCAAAGAAGCGAUGGUUGCGCCAGGCGAUUUCGGAAGAGUGUGAUUCACCCAAUAGCCGGCCUGAGAGUCCUCCUUCGCUUAGCGAAACGGUAGCACCCCCCAAGAAGCGGAGAAUAGCUCGAGAAAGUUUAUCGUCGGAUAAUUACACCCCGCCGACGACACCGACCAUGCUACUUCCGACUGAAGCAGCGCCUAACAACAGAUCACUGUGUUCUGCUGAUGAUGACUAUACAGAACAUGUGCAAUCGCCUAUCGUGGAACAGACCGAUGACAGACAUUACGAUUCGGAAUCUAUAAAAGAAGAUAUUAAAGUGGAUGAUAGAUCUAUGGAUUCUGAUAAACCAAUCAUUCGAGAAAAACUCUCAAUUGAUAUUUUUCCUCAAUCAGAAUUUUAUGUAAAAAAUGAAGGAAAAACAGAAUGCUCUGAUAUUAUUAAAACGGAAGAGUCUUCUGAAAUGGAUGUAGACAAUGUUAUGACAAAAAAAGAAAAAGUUUCUCCGAAGUGGGAGGGAGAUGAUAUAAAGUCCGAAUGUAGUUAUGAUCAAUUAGAUCAGAAAAUAAUUGAAAAGAUUCGAGAGGCUGUCGAAAGUAGAGUAUCAUUCAGCAAUUUUGAUAUCAAGAAAGAGUCUUUCGCUAAGGAGGAAAUUGUCACUAAAGGCACAGUUGAGAUAAUUGAUCAAAAUGAACCCGAUACCGAGAUGGAAGGAUUUAGUUCUCCCAUCGCUACUAUAGAACCUGACGCGAUUUUAAAACAGCGAGUGGUGGAGAUGCAGCUGGAAUUUGGGGGUGGCAUUGCCGAAAUCGUAAACAUUGCCAAUAGCGAAAACGAAAAGUCGAACGACGAGAAGAAAUCAUCCGAAGUCAUUGCAAAGUGUGAAGAGAUUGCUGAGAAAUCUGACGACAACGCAUCUAUCGACGAGUUUGACGUCGAAGCGCAGAUGAAGAAGAUCACGGGCGACGACGGUAACGACUAUCAGGAAAAGAUUGACACGAGUUCGGAGAAGGAUAAGAGCAUGGAUGGAAUAGAGGGACUAAUGGAUAGCUCGAAAGAAGAUUCGGACUCCGAGGAUAAGGACGUGGACGAUGACAAGUACUGCGAAUCUUCCUUUAAGUUAUUUGAUAUCAGUCAUGAAGAAACAUCUUUCAAAGAAUCGGAUACUAAGCCCGAUACUAAACCGGAACAGAUUAUCGUUACAGAAGAUGACACGAAAGAGACGGAUAAGGGUACGAAUGACGAGCCCGCAAAGGAAGUCUCCACGGUGGAAGAGCCAUCUGCCUUUGCCGCCCUGUCGGAGGAGUCUAUCUUCGAUUCGACUUCUGCGAACAUGGAUACGGAGUCCAUCGCGGACUCUCCCAAGAUCUUUCACUCGAUUCCACCUUUGAGCGAGCGCAUUCGCAAGAAGACCGAUUCGUCUGCCACGCCGAAAACGCCUAAGAUGGACUUUGAAGCGGCUAUCAUAGAAUCUACGAUAAGUAUGGACGCUGUGGACGGAUCUAAGAAUGGGGAGCAAAAGUCGAUGUUGUCAACCGCGCUACGUGAACUUUUGGAGGCAAAACUGGACGACGAGCCGACGGCCGAAGUAAUGAAAAAUGACGUUGAUAAUGAGAUUAACACGCCAUCACAAGUAAUUCAACCAAAAUUAGACUCCUCUGAACAUAGUUUAGACACAAUACAAGAUUCGGCUUCGAUUCAGGAAACGCCGAAGUUAGAAGAGACUCCCACCAAGGAGGAAGAGACCAAACCCAAAGAGAUAAAACGGUUGAAAGAUCCGAGGACCGUCGUACCGAAUAGUAUGCCAGCACCAGCUUUUAAACCGGACUCUCUUCCUCCUGUCAAGCGCAAGGUUAGAAGGGGUGUUCCAAUAACUAUUAUCACCUGAAAUAUCUUCUAAUCUAUAAGGUGUAGAGAAAAAUUUAUAUAAUCAAAAUUACACGAUGUAAAGGGAGCUAUCAUAUGAUGAUAAUAAUUUUUGUCCAGAUGGAGGCGCUUCGGAAAUUUCAAGGUAACAAAAUUAUUGGUUCUUAUUUUAUCGACAUCUAAAUGGCAAUAAGUACGCUAAUUUUCUUGAGCAUACAUUGGGUACUUCGUUAGAAGACUUGCCUUUAAUCACAUAACGAAUGUGAUACCAGAACGAAUGGAUGCCCGGCUCAUUUUUCAUUGGUUGUGAGAAAUAAACUCAAUGAAAAAUUUCCAAAUCGCUGGAUUGGACACAAGGGUUCUGUAACAUGGCCAGUUCGUUCAUCAGACUUGACAUCACUGGAUUAUUUUUUAUGGGGAACUUUAAAGGACA
rnacentral:misc_RNA from 1 species